AAAAUAAGUUUCAGAUACUAUAUUUUCCUGAUCACUGCAUCAGAAUUCGUCUUGUUAUAUUAUCAGGUACGUUUUAACUAAAUCACCGGUUUGCUAUUUCCAGCACUUUAUAUGAGACAAAUACACACGGUAAUCUUAAUCCCUGCAUAUAACUCAAUCUUGCUGUUAUCUUUACACUUGUGUCUGUACCUUGACUUCUGUUGUCCUUGGAUAUGUACCUAUACGUUUCACUCGGAUGUUGUUUUAUCUUCUGGCCUUUUUCCUUGUAUCUUGACUUAUGGAUCUCAAUUCUGAGUAAGAAUAUAGUCUCUUGACCUGAAACAUGAGUCUAGUGAACUUGUC